rnacentral:lncRNA from 10 species
GAGACAGGGUUUGCUUGGGCUGAUCGGGGGUGGAGGCAGGAGGAGUCAUGGAUAGUUUUGGGGUCUAGGUGCAUUUGUGGCAGUGGUAUGAGGUGGUAAGACAAAGAGGGGGUCAAUGACAUGAACAGUAUGCCACACAAUGUAAGAGAUCGGGAAAAGCGAUGGAGCAUUGGGAUAGAGGAUGUGAAGUGGGGUUCCUGGGAUUUGUGCAGAAGAAAACCUGACAUCCAGUUCUUGAGCAAGUUGCUUAACUCUGCACACCAUUUUCAUCUGUAACAUAAUAUCUACCUUAGAGGAUUCUUGGGCACAGCCUGUGAGCUAAGAGAUACAAAAGUGCUUGUAAGCUGUGAAGGGCUACGAAAAAGAGGUCCAGCUCAUCGGGUCCAUGGGCUGAGUAGGAGUGCAGGGCUACAAACCUGGGAAGACACAGAGAACUGAUUCAGGGAUCACCAGUAUAUGGCCUCCAGGCAUCUCAGACAUCAGGAAGUCCCUCCAGACUCCAAGGACUGUGAGACAUUGGAGCGUUUUAUCAAAGGGAAUGGGGGAGUGUUCUCUACAAGGUUUUUUUUGUUUUG